rnacentral:rRNA from 1 species
UACAGAGGGUGCGAGCGUUAAUCGGAAUAACUGGGCGUAAAGGGUGCGUAGGCGGAACGCUAAGUCAGAUGUGAAAGCCCCGGGCUCAACCUGGGAACUGCAUUUGAAACUGGCGAUCUAGAGUAGAGGAGAGGAGAGUAGAAUUUCAGGUGUAGCGGUGAAAUGCGUAGAUAUCUGAAGGAAUACCAGUGGCGAAGGCGGCUCUCUGGCCUCAUACUGACGCUGAGGCACGACAGCGUGGGGAGCAAACAGG